AGGACGAACGCUGGCGGCGUGCCUAAUGCACGCAAGUCGAGCGACGAAUAGGUGCGGGUAACCAAGCCUAUUACGGAGCGGCGAACGGGUGAGUAACACGUGAGCAACCUGCCCCGAAGACCGGAUAGCCCAGGGAAACUUGGAUUAAUACCGGAUAUCCUCCAUUGAUCGCAUGGUCGUUGGAAGAAAUGCUUUUACGCUUCGGGAUGGGCUCGCGGCCUAUCAGCUUGUUGGUGGGUAACGGCCUACCAAGGCGUCGACGGGUAGCUGGUCUGAGAGGACGAUCAGCCACACUGGGACUGAGACACGG
rnacentral:rRNA from 1 species